rnacentral:rRNA from 1 species
AUGGGAGGAGGCAUCUUGCUCUCCCUGUUCGUUCCCACUGCUGCCGGCGGCCAGAGCUUCCUGAUCAGAAAGCUUGUGAUGGCCGCAGAGGGUGGCAAGGACUGCCUCGGUGACCUCAUUGACGACCUCCUCCGGCAUCUGUUGUUCCUUCUUCAGCCCGAAGGUGCCCCGAAGACUUGUGUGCUAGACACCAGGUGGCGCGAACUAUGCAGGCGCACCACUAGCCUACACUCCGUCAGUCUCAAGCGUUGGCUGUAG